UAUGUAUGUAUGUACACACAUGUACGUGUACCUUGAUCUUGGGUGGCUUUCUUGUGCCUGAUCCUGCGCAUGGGUGGCGCCAAUAUCAGCGUUGUCAGGGUGGGGUAUUCACUGUCAAUGCCAAUGUCAAUAGAAGGGCUUAUUUCGGCGACAGGCUCAAGGUCGGAGUAACUGUACCAUGGACAUGGAACGGAACAGAGAGUGUAAAAAGUAGACGGAACCGAUGCAUAUGCAAAUACUUCACUUUGAGUUAUCGCCAUUUACUUUUUCGCUCUCCCCUAUGCCAAUCAUCAUUCAUCGUUUUACCUGCUCUCCUCCACCAUCUACAUCUCGUCCUCUCCACCGUCUAUUGAUUUCGUCUCUGCUGACAUGACUGCGACGGCGACGCCGACUAAGCAAAGAAAGAGGAGAGAGGAGAACAGCUAACUUUGAGAGCAUCAAUCAGUGCAAGGUGUCGAUACAACAAAGUGAGGAAUUGCUGCUCUCCUCCACGCACCUUUUUCUCUGUGACAGGCACAACCACAACAUUUGAGAGCAAUCUCUUUACGCCUCACCUUGUGCGGCAUCAGCAACGCCGACUUUGAUGGCAAUGAAAAGUAGUGUUGAUAACGGGGAUUAGCUCUCAUUAGCUCUUCGGAAGUUACUAGCGGAAGAAAGAGAGCGAAACGUGACAGUGGAGCAGACAGGAGAUCAAGCUUCGGGAGGGUCACGUCACUCACGAGGAUUUGUUGUAAAUGGAUAAACAAAUACCCUACCAACGAGCUCAAAGACAUUUUGAGAGUGUGUGGAAAAUCUUACAAUUAGAUAGCGCACAUAAAUAUUAGAAUUUAUCUGAUAAAUAUCGCAAUGGAAUAUCUCUAAAAAUAGCUGUUCUGUUCCAAGCUAAGACUGGAAAACUUUUUGAUUUCGAAAUAUCUGCUGAAAAUCAUUAUACCCUUUUGUAAAGAGUAUAAUUAUGUACAAAUGUAUGUAUGUAUGUAUCCCAUCAAAUCAGAGCGAGCAAAUACCUAAACGAGGUGCUAAGAGAUCCCAUUUGUAGUUGGUCAUCGAGGCCUUAAAUUGAAAAUACAAGCUGCGGAAAGUGCGAAAUAUCAAUCCAGAACCAGAUCGGGCAAAGAGAGCGACAGAUAGAUGAAAUGAGAGGACUAAAACACACGCACACUCACACACACAGACAUAACCGUACUCGGUAGCAGCGCAUUUAAAUUGGGCAAACUGAUUCAUUGGGCGGCGGCGGCAUUACCCAAAAAUGUUGAUAAAUAUCGCAAGUUAAAUGAAUUACUAGACAAGUACAUAUGCUCAUUGGCUUUGAUGUAUCGACGUAUCACAAGUGUCCGCCAGCAAAUCCAAGUGUAUUUAAAUAAAUUCAAAUGAAUUGUAAUUGAUGGGAUACCAGCAGAAGAUACCAGGUAGCAGGCCGGGCCUCUCCCUUUGGCAUUUAUUGGAUGUCACCCACCGAUCGGUCACAUGAAUCGCUGCAACUAGACCUCGGGAAGUGAUCGAUUUUUGAGCUAAUUUCUCAGCCCAAAACCAACAAAUCAAUCAAAAGUGAGGAACAUGUGGAGGCCGGCGGUGCCACAAUUUAUGCGUAUUACAAAUCCGAAUAUGCCAAUAGAUGUUAUGCUACACUCG